rnacentral:pre_miRNA from 1 species
UUGUAAUGCGUACGGUACAAGUUUGCAUGUAUCACUAUUGUGCACAAUAGUGAUACAUGCAAACUUGUACCGUACGCAUUACAA